GUCUGGCCAGCUAGAGCAGGAGGAAGCAAGGUCGGUCUCUUUCUCAAGGUGUGAGCUCUGAUUCCUUGAGAAGAUGAUGGAAGGAAAAGAUGCCUCAUUCGCCCUCUCUCUGGGUCGUGUAACUCUGAAUUGGCAGGCAAAGGGGCCUGUUGCCUUUGUGCUAGCUGUAGGCACAAUACUAGUAUUCAUUAUAGGACUCCUGUUAUGCUGAAAUAAGGCCAGCGAAAACAAGGCCCAGAAAAUGCAUGGACAGGAAUUCUUUCCAAUCCCCUCGCCUUAAGGAGAAGGCUCCACCUUCUUGGGGAAUGUGUGAAGCAACAUGCUAUACACAGUUUAAUUUUGAUUAUGAACAAAGUCAACUUUUGAGCAAAAUAAAAAUUAAUUAAAUACACA